rnacentral:rRNA from 1 species
GACGAACGCUGGCGGCGUGCUUAACACAUGCAAGUCGAACGGAAAGGCCCUGCUGUUGUGGGGUGCCCGAGUGGCGAACGGGUGAGUAAGACGUGAGUAACCUGCCCUUGACUUUGGGAUAACUUCAGGAAACUGGGGCUAAUACCGGAUAGGAGCUCCUGCUGCACGGUGGGGGUUGGAAAGUUUCGGCGGUUGGGGAUGGACUCGCGGCUUAUCAGCUUGGUGGUGGGGUAGUGGCUUACGAAGGCUUUGACGGGUCGCCGGCCUGGGAGGGUGACCGGCCACAUUGGGACUGAGAUACGGCCCAGACUCCUACGGGCGGCAGCAGUGGGGAAUAUUGCACAAUGGGCGGAAGCCUGAUGCAGCGACGCCGCGUGCGGGAUGACGGCCUUCGGGUUGUAAACCGCUUUCGCCUGUGACGAAGCGUGAGUGACGGUAAUGGGUAAAGAAGCACCGGCUAACUACGUG